rnacentral:lncRNA from 1 species
AUGAUUCUAAUUUGACUAGAUUGGAUUUCAUUACUCUAAUAGGAUUGGACUUGAUUUACGGUGAAAUCCAAACCUAUUUGGACUCCAAAUUUGAUUUGGAUUUGAACCCAAACCACUUUGGACUUUAUCUAAUAAGAGGUCCACAUGUAGAAGGACUCUUCCCUAAAUUUGUGGCACUACUUAUUAGCUUUGGCAUUGAGAAAAAAUAGAG